CUCGGUUUGGAACACAGACCUUAUGAAAGCAGUUUUAGUAAAGCAGUCCUCAGUUCAAGCGUUAUCUUAGAUAUCCCUUCUUCUCGAGUCUCCUCCUAAGUGCCCGAAUAAGUCCAACUCUGCUGAACAGACCAUGUUCGCCGCGUUUAGUGGCUCAAGAAAUUCUAUAAGGUAAUCGCUAUGUCUAACAAAAUGACUGGUUUAGUAAAAUGGUUCAACGCUGAGAAAGGUUUCGGCUUCAUCUCUCCUACCGAUGGCAGCAAAGAUGUAUUCGUACACUUCUCUGCAAUCCAGAGCGACAGCUUCAAAACUCUCGACGAAGGCCAGAAAGUUGAGUUCUCUAUCGAGAACGGCGCUAAAGGCCCAGCUGCUGCUAACGUUGUUGCGCUGUAAUCCAGCCUGACGUUUCAGAAGUGAAGAAACCCGCUACGGCGGGUUUUUUUGU
rfam:Beauveria bassiana D1-5 contig00257, whole genome shotgun sequence.